rnacentral:rRNA from 1 species
CCCUGCCCUUUGUACACACCGCCCGUCGCUACUACCGAUUGAAUGGCUUAGUGAGGCUUUCGGAUUGGACUUUGGCAGCUGGCAACAGCAGCUAGGGACUAAAAAGUCAUCCAAACUUGGUCAUUUAGAGG